GCCUCUUACCCGGCGACACGCAGAAAACCCAGCGGAAAGACAACGACGCGGGCUGAAGGCGACAUUGCUUUGCUCAAUCAUUUGAUCGAGCAGCUGGGGUGCACACGGCCGCGGCGGCCGGUGGCCAUGGAUAACCUUGCGUUCUUGCGGGGAAUCACGGCCCCGGUCGUCGCUGGCGCCGUCUUGGGCGCGGUCUGGUGGUUUUGGAUCCACCCAGUGUCGCCAUCGUCUGCAGCGCCGUGCAGGUCUGACCAUCGGAGGUGUCCUUCCUCCACUGACUCCCUGGGAUCUUCGCGUCGCUGGCGUUGCUCAUGUUCAACUGCGUGAACAAGAAUGAGAUCGGAUCCGACUACUUCUCACCUUAAGGCUUAAGGGGACAUUCCCAGUGGCGGCAGAUUGAUUUAUUGGACUUGCCACAGUGAAGACUGAAGAUGAAAUGUGCCAGAGUCAUGGGCUUAAAAGGUGCCAAGCAAAGCAAGAGCUCGUGUGCUUGAAAGGCAAUGACGGAGUACCAACGGCGGAAUGCCAAUGCCUACGGUUGAUGACUGCCAUGUCUCAAUUGUAUGGGUUGAUUGGCACACAGUCGCUAUGGAGAACUGGAGAUAAUAUCAUGAAUGCAGGCUGGCUAUGCCUAUUAUAACACUAAUCCAGGCCUUCAUUAUUCGGGUCUUGCUGUUGAUAGAAUUGGCAGCACUGUUGAUCACUGAUUAAUUAAUUAGAAAGCAAAACUUAGCUGUCUAAGGGCGUGAGAAGAGUUACUAGGAAUAACUCAAGCAAGAGGGAAGGAGAACAUGGCAUAUUGACAUGUCUUGGGUUCAUUGCUGUAUGGGUAGUUGCAUGUACAACUGAUUCUAUUAGUUUGUAUAGAACAGUAUGGUGAUCAUUUGGUGCUUCCAUGGUUCUUCAAAUGGCAAAUGCUUUGGGUUG